AAACAAACAGUAGGAGUUUCUUUCCACAGUGGAAGGGAGAAUAAUGAGAAGAAGGAUGCAGAAGAGAGGGGAAAGUUGAAAGUAGCUGAUAUGGGACCACAGAAUAUUGGCCAAUCAAUUGUAAUGACUAUACUUAUACCUAAACAAGUAAUAAAUAAAUGCAUUUGGCUUCCUUACCUUGAGUAUUGAAUCAACAUUUGAAAACAAAGUAAUCAACCUUUGGCAAUUUGAAACAUCAAAGGACUUUGUAUUCUCCAGUGAAUGAAGGAUAAAAAUUAGACAUGGAGACACUUGGUUUGGCAGAGCAGGUGACAAGCCUGAAGACCGUGAGUUAAGAUCAUAGAGCCACAGACCAGA
rnacentral:lncRNA from 10 species